AACCAGGAGAUCAUGACCUGAGCCGAAAUCAAGUGUCAGAUGCUUAACCGACUGAGCCACCCACGUGCCCUCCUGUCCUUUCUUAAUUGUGAUUGUCCCUGCAUACUCCUUCACCUGCCCACCCACUUCGCCACCAGUGCACACCCCCCCCCCCGAUCAUCCCACACAUGCACAAAAGUAUUGUGUAUGUGCAAGCCCUGUACAAAGUAAUUGACUUUGUGAAUAGUUGUUUUCAUUCUGGUUUAUAAAGACACAGGAGUACAUGCUUUUAAGAGCUUCUUUUUCCUUUUAACUCGCAGUGCACAUGACAAAAUGUGAGGCAUCUGACAGGCAGCCAGCCACCUGCGAGGAUCAGUUUUAAACAGAUGGUGCAGUAGAAAAUGAGUCCAAAUGUAGACAUCACAAAGUGAUCCUGGCAAACACUCACAGAUGUGGAUUAUGACAAUUCUGAUGACCCUGACCCAUGGGUUAGUUGGUUCGGGUCAGAGUGAAAUGGUUUGCCUUGUGACAGCGACAAAAACAUUAGCAACUUUGUCUUUUGGGAAUGAAAGGUGGCUCUGAAGACUAGAAAGGAGACUUUGCCACAAGCUCCACGUGCCUCCUCCUUUCUGGCACUUGCAUUGUCUCUUCUUGGCAACAACCUACUCCUCACUGGCCUUUGGAACAGAUGAAUGAGGCUCUUCCGGUCCUGACAUCUGUCCACCUUUGCCGGUCCUACCUCUCCCCACCUGGUCCAAAACAGGCCAUGCUCCACUAAAUUGAAGCUCUCUCCAAAUGAGCUGCACCGUUCUUGCCUUCUCCGGGCCUUGACAGGUGCAGUCUGUACUCUAGGAUGUCUUUUGUGCCAUGCUCAGCCGGCAAAUUCCCAGCCUAGGCUUUGAGUCUGCUGGGGUGUGGCUGCAUACUGGUGUCCUCAUGAGAAGAGGGAGAUCUGGACACAGAGAGAGACACACAGGGAGAACUCUAUAAGGAGAUGGCAGAAAUUGGAGUUGUGCAGCUAUAAGCCGAGGAUGACAGGUGACAUCAGAACCUGGGGCAGACACGGAACAGGUUCUCCACUAGAACCUUUCAGUGAGAAUGGCCCAGACAAUACCUUAAUUUUGGACUUCCAGUGCCCAGAAUAUGCAUCACAGGGGGCACACUGUGGGAGACUGAAGGCUGCACACCGUGUGCGGACAAUGUCCCACUUUUGGAACUGCUGUCUGCUGAAUGUAGAAGAACCAGCCCAUGACAACAAGUAGGAGUGUCGUGUGUUGUGGGAGGAAAUCCCACAAAGUGGGGGAGAAAUGUGCUCCUUAGAUGUUAUCUGAUGGGCCAAGUCAGUCCUGAGGGCUCUGCCCUGAUCCCGUGAGACGCUACAGUAGGCUCCCCAUGAGCCUUAUACUUCCCAUUCUGCGAAUAAAAACUGGUUUGCACAGAC